ACUCAAAGGAAUAGACGGGGGCCCGCACAAGCAGUGGAGUAUGUGGUUUAAUUCGAAGCAACGCGAAGAACCUUACCUGGGCUUGACAUCCAUAGAAUGCCUAAGAGAUUAGGCAGUGCCCUUCGGGGAACUAUGAGACAGGUGGUGCAUGGUUGUCGUCAGCUCGUGUCGUGAGAUGUUGGGUUAAGUCCCGCAACGAGCGCAACCCUUAUUGUUAGUUGCCAUCAUUUAGUUGGGCACUCUAACGAGACUGCCGGUGACAAAUCGGAGGAAGGUGGGGACGACGUCAAAUCAUCAUGCCCCUUAUGUCCAGGGCUACACACGUACUACAAUGGCUAUUAACAGAGGGAAGCAAUACCGCGAGGUGGAGCAAAUCCCUAAAAAUAGUCCCAGUUCAGAUUGCAGGCUGAAACUCGCCUGCAUGAAGUCGGAAUUGCUAGUAAUCGCAGAUCAGCAUGCUGCGGUGAAUACGUUCCCGGGCCUUGUACACACCGCCCGU
rnacentral:rRNA from 1 species